rnacentral:rRNA from 1 species
GAUGAACGCUAGCGGCAGGCUUAACACAUGCAAGUCGAGGGGCAGCAUAAAACAUUGCUUGCAAUGUUUGGUGGCGACCGGCGCACGGGUGCGUAACGCGUAUGCAACCUACCUAUAACAGGGGGAUAACACUGAGAAAUUGGUACUAAUACCCCGUAACAUCAGAGGAGGCAUCUUGAGGUAAUUAAAUCUUCGGAGGUAUAAGAUGGGCAUGCGUAGCAUUAGCUAGAUGGUGCGGUAACGGCGUACCAUGGCGACGAUGCUUAGGGGUUCUGAGAGGAAGGUCCCCCANACUGGUACUGAGAUACGGACCAGACUCCUACGGGAGGCAGCAGUGAGGAAUAUUGGUCAAAUGGUCGGAAGACUGAACCAG